rnacentral:lncRNA from 13 species
AUGAAAUGUUCCUGUAAAGCUGGCUUGGGAAGUGCAUGUAAACACAUUUUAGCAGUUUUGUUCUACUGUAGCAGGUUUGAUUUGGAAGAUUUAAUUAUCGUCUCUUGUACGGAUAAAAAAUGCAUGUGGAAUGAACCGAAUGGAACAGAAAUCAUCGUUAGAAAAAUAUGAUCCUUGGCCUUUACAACAACACGAUUGUUUUUCAAUAAAAAAGAUGAAGAACCUUGAGAAGCAAAGUAAA